rnacentral:rRNA from 1 species
GAUCAGGCUCAGGACGAACGCUGGCGGCGUGCUUAACACAUGCAAGUCGAACGAAAAGACGGAAAGAGCUUGCUCUUUUCAGAAUUGAGUGGCAAACGGGUGAGUAACACGUAAACAACCUGCCUUCAGGAUGGGGACAACAGACGGAAACGACUGCUAAUACCGAAUAAGUUCCAAGAGCCGCAUGGCCCAUGGAAGAAAAGGUGGCCUCUACCUGUAAGCUAUCGCCUGAAGAGGGGUUUGCGU